AGUGAACGCUGGCGGUAGGCCUAACACAUGCAAGUCGAACGGCAGCACAGUAAGAGCUUGCUCUUACGGGUGGCGAGUGGCGGACGGGUGAGGAAUACAUCGGAAUCUACUUUUUCGUGGGGGAUAACGUAGGGAAACUUCCGCUAAUACCGCAUACGACCUACGGGUGAAAGCAGGGGAUCUUCGGACCUUGCGCGAUUGAAUGAGCCGAUGUCGGAUUAGCUAGUUGGCGGGGUAAAGGCCCACCAAGGCGACGAUACGUAGCUGGUCUGAGAGGAUGAUCAGCCACACUGGAACUGAGACACGGUCCAGACUCCUACGGGAGGCAGCAGUGGGGAAUAUUGGACAAUGGGCGCAAGCCUGAUCCAGCCAUACCGCGUGAGUGAAGAAGGCCUUCGGGUUGUAAAGCCCUUUUGUUGGGAAAGAAAAGCAGCAGGUUAAUACCCCGCUGUUCUGACGGUACCCAAAGAAUAAGCACCGGCUAACUUCGUG
rnacentral:rRNA from 1 species